rnacentral:rRNA from 1 species
CCCUUCGGGGUGUGACUGCGUACCUUUUGUAUAAUGGGUCAGCGACUUAUAUUCUGUAGCAAGGUUAACCGUAUAGGGGAGCCGGAGGGAAACCGAGUCUUAAUUGGGCGUUAAGUUGCAGGGUAUAGACCCGAAACCCGGUGAUCUAGCCAUGGGCAGGUUGAAGGUUGGGUAACACUAACUGGAGGACCGAACCGACUAAUGUUGAAAAAUUAGCGGAUGACCUGUGGCUGGGGGUGAAAGGCCAAUCAAACCGGGAGAUAGCUGGUUCUCCCCGAAAGCUAUUUAGGUAGCGCCUCGUGAAUUCAUCUCCGGGGGUAGAGCACUGUUUCGGCUAGGGGGCCAUCCCGGCUUACCAACCCGAUGCAAACUGCGAAUACCGGAGAAUGUUAUCACGGGAGACACACGGCGGGUGCUAACGUCCGUCGUGAAGAGGGAAACAACCCAGACCGCCAGCUAAGGUCCCAAAGUCAUGGUUAAGUGGGAAACGAUGUGGGAAGGCCCAGACAGCCAGGAUGUUGGCUUAGAAGCAGCCAUCAUUUAAAGAAAGCGUAAUAGCUCACUGGUCGAGUCGGCCUGCGCGGAAGAUGUAACGGGGCUAAACCAUGCACCGAAGCUGCGGCAGCGAACGUAUCACCCAAGACAACUUUACGGAGUUGACGAUUGACGGAGCGAAGCGACGUCAAAGCGUUCAUUAAAGUCGAGUUGGCUUAGGGAUACGUUCGUUGGGUAGGGGAGCGUUCUGUAAGCCUGUGAAGGUGUGUCGUGAGGC